CAAUAGCGUAUAUUAAACUUGUUGCGGUUAAAAAGCUCGUAGUUGGAUUUCUGCCGAGGACGACCGGUCCGCCCUCUGGGUGAGUAUCUGGCUUGGACUGGGCAUCUUCUUGGAGGACGUAGCUGCACCUGACUGUGUGGCGGUAUCCAGGACUUUUACUUUGAGGAAAUUAGAGAGUUUCAAGCAGGCAUACGCCUUGAAUACAUUAGCAUGGAAUGAUAAGAUAGGACCUCGGUUCUAUUUUGUUGGCUUCUAGAGCUGAGGUAAUGAUUAAUAGGGAUAGUUGGGGGCAUUCGUAUUUAACUGUCAGACGUGAAAUUCUUGGAUUUAUGAAAGAUGAACUUAGGCGAAAGCAUUUACCAAGGAUGUUUUCAUUAAUCAAGAACGAAAGUUAGGGAUCGAAGACGAUUAGAUACCGU
rnacentral:rRNA from 1 species